GGGAGGCAGCAGUAGGGAAUCUUCCACAAUGGACGCAAGUCUGAUGGAGCAACGCCGCGUGAGUGAAGAAGGUUUUCGGAUCGUAAAGCUCUGUUGUUGGUGAAGAAGGAUAGAGGUAGUAACUGGCCUUUAUUUGACGGUAAUCAACCAGAAAGUCACGGCUAACUACGUGCCAGCAGCCGCGGUAAUACGUAGGUGGCAAGCGUUGUCCGGAUUUAUUGGGCGUAAAGCGAGCGCAGGCGGAAAAAUAAGUCUAAUGUGAAAGCCCUCGGCUUAACCGAGGAACUGCAUCGGAAACUGUUUUUCUUGAGUGCAGAAGAGGAGAGUGGAACUCCAUGUGUAGCGGUGGAAUGCGUAGAUAUAUGGAAGAACACCAGUGGCGAAGGCGGCUCUCUGGUCUGCAACUGACGCUGAGGCUCGAAAGCAUGGGUAGCGAACAGGAUUAGAUACCCUGGUAGUCCAUGCCGUAAACGAUGAGUGCUAAGUGUUGGGAGGUUUCCGCCUCUCAGUGCUGCAGCUAACGCAUUAAGCACUCCGCCUGGGGAGUACGACCGCAAGGUUGAAACUCAAAGGAAUUGACGGGGGCCCGCACAAGCGGUGGAGCAUGUGGUUUAAUUCGAAGCAACGCGAAGAACCUUACCAGGUCUUGACAUCUAGUGCAAUCUGUAGAGAUACGGAGUUCCCUUCGGGGACGCUAAGACAGGUGGUGCAUGGCUGUCGUCAGCUCGUGUCGUGAGAUGUUGGGUUAAGUCCCGCAACGAGCGCAACCCUUGUUAUUAGUUGCCAGCAUUAAGUUGGGCACUCUAAUGAGACUGCCGGUGACAAACCGGAGGAAGGUGGGGAUGACGUCAAGUCAUCAUGCCCCUUAUGACCUGGGCUACACACGUGCUACAAUGGGCAGUACAACGAGAAGCAAGCCUGCGAAGGCAAGCGAAUCUCUGAAAGCUGUUCUCAGUUCGGACUGCAGUCUGCAACUCGACUGCACGAAGCUGGAAUCGCUAGUAAUCGCGGAUCAGCACGCCGCGGUGAAUACGUUCCCGGGCCUUGUACACACCGCCCGUCACACCAUGGGAGUCUGCAAUGCCCAAAGCCGGUGGCCUAACCUUCGGGAAGGAGCCGUCUAA
rnacentral:rRNA from 1 species